rnacentral:lncRNA from 1 species
CGGUUUCUCCGGGAGAUGAGGAGGCUCAGUUACAUAGCAGGUCCCAUGAUUGCAGUAAACUCUUCCAUGUACUUUCUCCAAGUCAUAUCGAUCAUGAUGGUUGGUCAUCUCGGUGAGCUUUACCUCUCCAGCACUGCCAUAGCCGUUUCUUUCUGCAGUGUCACCGGCUUUAGCCUCGUCGUAUGAUCUCUUUCUCUAUCCUCUCUUCUCUUGAAAAACCAGUUCUAAAAAUCGCGGCGACCCCCAAAAAAUCGACCACCUAAACAAUAAUCCUCUAUUAAACGCCUAACCUAUUUUUAGAACAUUGCGAAAAACUAUGCCAACUAAGAUUUUGGAGCUAUAUAUAAUUUAGUAAAACAUUUAAUAAAAAUAUUUAGUAAGAAUUUUAAUAAAAAGAAAAGAUCUAUGUUUAUGUAAAUUUUUUAAAAAAAAAUUGUUUACAGUUUGGAUUGGCUAGUGCGUUGGAGACUUUAUGUGGUCAAGCUAAUGGAGCUAAGCAGUUCGAGAAGCUUGGCGAACAUACUUACACAGGGAUCUUCUCUCUGUUCAUUGUUUCUAUCCCUUUGUCUGUUCUCUGGAGUUACAUGGGUGAGAUACUCUCUUUCAUCGGACAAGAUCCUCUUGUUUCUCAAGAAGCAGGAAAGUUUGCCACUAGGCUCAUACCAUCACUCUUUGCUUACGCGACAUUACAACCACUUGUUCGGUUUUUCCAAGCGCAGAGUUUGGUUUUGCCUUUGAUUAUGAGCUCAAUGUCUGCUCUGUGUUGCCAUGUUGUUCUUUGCUGGAGCUUGGUUUUCAAGUUUGGGCUUGGAAGCUUAGGUGCAGCUAUUGCGAUCAGUGUUUCUUACUGGCUUAACGCAACUGUGCUUGGAUUGUAUAUGACGUUUUCUUCUACCUGUAGCAAGACUCGUGGGAAGAUCUCCAUGAGUGUGUUUAAAGGAAUGAAAGAGUUUUUUCGAUUUGGAGUCCCAUCUGCAUCUAUGAUUUGGUAUGAACAACCUCUUUGUUUCUUAUUUGGUUUUGGUCACACUGUAAUGAUCAUAUUAUUGUGUGUUAUGGUGUUGAAUUAGCCUUGAGUGGUGGUCAUUCGAAUUUCUUGUCAUGCUCUCUGGAAUUCUACCAAAUCCAAAGCUAGAAACCUCUGUUCUCUCAGUGUGGUAUGUUCCUUAUCUUUUAAACCGGUCCUACCAUUUUAGGGACCAAAAACAAUUUAGUAAGAAUUUUGAUAAAUCUAUUUUCUUAUCAAUUUAGGAGCAUAUGUUCAUUUAUACUGAUUUAAAAAUUUUGGAGAGCAAAGACCAAUGUUUCACUUCUCUAAGCCCAUGACCGGCUUUGCUUGUAUUUUGGAAUGAAAUAUCAUCAUAUAAACUUACUUGCAUGCUUCCUUGUUUUAACAGUCUAUCAACAAUCUCCUCCUUGUACCAAAUACCGGAGAGUCUAGGCGCAGCAGCAAGGUUCUUUCUCUCUUUUUUUUUUUUAUUUAAUAAGAAAAGGAGAUAUCUAAAAACCAUCUGAUCACAGCUGUCUUUAUAUUUUAUUGGUGUUGUAUGCAGUACAAGAGUUGCAAACGAAUUGGGAGCUGGAAACCCAAAAAAAGCUCGAAUGGCGGUUUACACAGUGAUGGUUAUCACAGGAGUGGAAGCACUGAUGGUGAGUGCGAUAGUCUUUGCUGCAAGAAACGUAUUUGGUUACCUAUUCAGCUCUGAAACCGAAGUUGUGGAUUAUGUAAGAACAAUGGCUCCUCUGGUUUCUUUAUCAGUCAUAUUCGAUGCUCUUCACGCAGUUCUUUCAGGUUAGAAUCUGUUCCUAUAGUACUGUUGAAGUCAUUGAAUAAUUAAGAGACUAACUUAAUGAAUAAAAACAGGUGUGGCUAGAGGAUCAGGGAGGCAAGACAUUGGAGCAUAUGUUAACCUAGCUGCAUAUUAUCUUUUUGGAAUACCAACUGCUGUUGUAUUAGGAUUUACGUUUAAAAUGAGAGGAAGAGGACUCUGGAUUGGUAUCACGGUCGGGUCUUGUGUACAAGCUGUUUUGCUUGGUCUUAUCGUCAGCCUCACCAACUGGAAACAACAGGUUAGUAAAUUACUGAAAGUGAUACGUACGUCUUUUAAUUUGAUAUGUUGGUUUCAUACAUUUAAUGAUUGUAUGAUUAGUCCAUGUAAGAGAGUUAAGUGAAAGUGAUGUCUAUUUAAUAUUCAUGUGAAUCAUGUGGGCAUUGCAGGUGAGGAAGGCAAGAGAAAGAUUGAUGGGUGAUAAGUUUGAAGACGACGAACAUGUAGAGAUCAUCAGUUAAAAUCAAAAGAGUUAUUGGAUCAUUAUUUUGUCAUUUAAUGUUGUUUUUUUCAUAUUUCAGAAUACAGUAAAACAGUAAUGGGAAGGAUUAGAAUGUGCACACACAUGUACGUGCACAUGAGUUAUGGCAUCUACUUUCUUUCCCAUACACAUGAACAUGAAGUUAUUUUCCUAUCAAAUUAAAGGUUAAUAAUCUUUAAUCAAACAAUAUUAGUUAUUAAGAAAAUGUCCAAAACAAAGGCCUUGUCUAGUUAAUUUGAAAUGGAAUAAAAUCCUAACUAGAGACACUUUAAAGGGUUGGGCAUCACUCCCAACCGAAUCCAAUCCAAAAAAUCUGAACACAAACCUGAUCAAAUUUAUAAAAAAUACCUAAAUGGAUAUUGAGUUAGCACAAACGGUAUAUCCAAACCUGAUCAUAUAAUAUUUACUCCAUAUAUAUAAUAUCGAAAGUUAAUCCGAGCAUAUCCGAAAUUGUUAACAUAAUUCUCUCCUAAACCCAAAAUAUUAUGUCAUUUGUUAAUAUGUUUUAUAUUUUGUUUAUUUGAAUUUCAAUUUCAUUUUUAGAUAUUUGUGUUUGUUUGGAAAUAAAUAUAAGAUCGGAUGAAAACACUUAAAGAGAUGACAAUAUUUUAGGUAUUUUAAAAGAUUAUGUAUCUGUAUAUUCAGUUAUAUUCAAAUUCUUGGAUUCAAAGCUUACCAAACCGAACCCUACCUAAAAUAUGAAAAGUACUUGCAUACAUAGUUGAUUCUUAGACCAAAUUAUCAAAAAAUCUGAAAUAUCCGAACCAAAUCAAAUCCAAAAAAUAUUCGAAUGCUUAAACCUACUAAAAUUAAACCACUAUUUUUCAAGGUUCUCGGUCUUCUUAAAUUUCAGUAUUUCAGGCAUUGCCUGAAUUUUGUGUGUUCUUCAGUAAUAACUAUCUAUUCUAUUAACACUGAAGUACAAAAAACUUCUUGCCUUUUUUAAAGUGGGUUUCUAACCAUUUAAUUUAUUAUUUUCAUUUAAGUUAAGUGUUUUAUUACAGUUUUUAUAUUUUUUUUAACUCUUCUAAAUUACUUCAUUAAUUGCAUUUACUUUAAUAAUUCAAUGUCAUUUAUUAUGCGUAUUAACCAAAAUAAUUUCACGUGUCAUAAUUGCUCCAUUAGUAAAAAAAAAUUUAAACCAGUUAACAAAUUUUUUUAUUUGUUUACAUAAUCAGUUAGACAUGAGCUUUCAGGUAUACGUUUGGAUAUAGAUCGGUUUUUACGUGUAUCGAGUUUUUGAAUGUUAAAAUUAAACUAUAUUCGAAUAUUAUAAAUUAUCCAGGGUACUUAGUGGGGAUUAUGUUCACUAUAUCUUCAAGUCUUCUGUUAUACUUCUUGGCCAUAACAUUCAUCUUGCCAAAGCAUUUAUUGGUUGGGGCAUUAGGAAGCAAGGCUCUUGCAGGGACACAUCCUACUGGACCUAAAGAGAAGAUGGCGAUGCGACGAGCUCCUAGUUUGUAGAUUUGAUCAAUGGUUUUGUUAACUUGGGUUAACAUUGAGUCUACAUAGUCGUCUGGAGAGAGUGUAGUGGUUUGGAAUGGAAGAAAGUAGUUAAAGAUGUCGUUGGAACCAGACUCUAAUAAGAAGAGAGAUUCUUGGAUUACAGAUUUUUCUAUUUUGUUCUGCUCUACAAGUGUUUGGAAUUGCUGAAGUUGCGUUUGGAUCGGUGUCACUCUCUGGAUUUAUACAUGUAAACGGAUGAUUCAUAAGAAACAAAACAUUAAGAGAGAGAGAGAGAUGUUAUAGUUAUAUAGUUACCAUGUCUUUGUUGGUAUCAAGCAAGAAUCCACUACCGGCACUGGCGAAGUUAAUGCCAUUAGAAGGGAAUCGUUUUAAAGUUCUGUUCAAGAUUUGGAUCUGCAGUUCCAAGAAUGAUUUCUGUAAUGGAAGACCUAUAAAUUGCGCUGCAAGGAAUCAAGAAAAUAGAGAAAAGUAAGGUGUCUUGAGGAAAAAGCAAGUAAUUAAAGAGUUGGGAGGCAUUAUUAUUACAUAUGAAGUCAGCUACGGUUCUUCCAUUGGUGAACCUCCCGGUAGGUUGGUGGAAGAAGGAAGAGCCAUAAGGAGGAAAAUCAGCUUGAGCAGUGCAGUUUUUGUUGAAAUGAUUGUUUCCUGCGUCGAAAAUGGAGUCGCCAAAGGUAAAGAUGGCAGGAAGGGAGGGAGAAGACUUGGCCAGAGCCACGGGAGAGGCUAGAAGGAGCAGAGUAACGAGUAAGUCCAUUGAAGACAUGUGUGAGGAUAAAUUCAAAGACAUUAGUUAUAUAUAUUAACACUCACAUCAUUUAGAUUAGUGUAGAGUCAGUCACACUGAAAUUAAGGUAUGUAAAAAUUUGCAACGGAAAGGCAAGAGCAUUGUUCAUGUUUAUACAGUUUCUCUUUGGUGUGAUUAAAGUUAGAGGUUGUUCCCAAUUUUCUUAGUUAUAGAUGAUUCCUGUGACUGUUCAAUUACCUUAAAAACAACAUUAGAAAAUAAACUAUAUUAUCUAACUAGUAUUUAUUAACUAAUUAGAAAAUAAAAUUUUAAGAAUUGUGUUUCUAUCAUGUUUUCAAUUUCUCUAUUAUCAAAACAUAAUAACUAAAAAAAAUCGAAAUAAUGAUUUGCAAUUUGUCGAAAAACAAAAUAAAACACACUUAUUUUCUUGCAAUUUUAAUGGACCGUAUGGGCCUGACCUCAAAAGCUUAUCGAUUUUAGGACAAAAAUAAUAAAAAAAAACAAAUGGAGAGGCAUCAGGAAAAGGAGACUCUAAAAGAAUAAAAACAUAUUCUCAAAGCAUCAGAAAAUGCCCAAAGCAACAGGGGAGCCUCUCUCCCUCCUUUAUUACCCCCUGAGCCGAAACCCUAAUUUUCAAAAUUCACCAUCCCUAGAUGAAGCGCAUCGUCAGAAUCUCAGUCACCGACGCAGAAGCCACCGAUUCUUCCAGCGACGAAGACACGGAGGAGCCCUGCCGAGAAACAACAACAACAGCCCAGGUCCGCCGCCGCCGCGGGAAACGCCUCGUCAAGGAGAUCGUAAUCGACCCUCCCGACUCCGACGACAACCGCGACGCCUGCAAGACGCGGUUCAAAAUCAGGAUCCCGGCGGAGUUUCUCAAGGCGACGGCGGAGGGGGGGAAGAAGAAGUUCCGCGGAGUGAGGCAGAGGCCGUGGGGGAAAUGGGCGGCGGAGAUCAGAUGCGGCCGAGCUCUCAAGGGACGCCGCGAUCGUCUCUGGCUUGGGACUUUCGACACGGCGGAGGAAGCUGCUCUUGCUUAUGAUAACGCGGCUGUUCAGCUUAUUGGACCUCACGCGCCGACCAAUUUCAGUUUCCCGGCGGAGAGCCAAGAGGUGAAGAUGGUGGCCGGCGCAUCCGCCGUUGCUCGAGUCGCUUAAUUGGGGAUUUGUUUUGUCAUUUAGUUGGUCGUGUUGAAUUAGCAAUGAAGGUCUGUUGUAAUGGACUUUGUAAAUGAAUCUGUCUGUGCUGAAUCUCCUCAUGUUGCUUCUGCUCUUGCAUGUUGUGGUCUCUCUGUGUAUGUGUUUGUUACAUCGACGACGAGAUUGAAACCCUGAAAUAAAGAUUAGGAAAGUUGGGGUUUUUUGAAUCGGGACUUAUUCGUUAUAAGAGGAAACUCACCUGGAGAUAGAUUGGAGAUGUUUUAAGUGAACCAAACCAACAUUCCUAAUCCAAUCAAUUUCGGGUUAGUUAUUCGUUAGAAUUCAGUUUAUAAUAACAAAACGAACUUAAUUGAACUGAAUAUUAACCGAACGAAACCAAAAUAAUGAAGGUUGGGCAUAUAUUCAGAGUUUCGGACCCAUCGAAUUCAAUCCAGAAAAUAUCCAAAAUUAUAUAAAAUGUUUAUAACAUAUUUUUUUCUUAGAUCUAAAUAUUUUCUGUGUGUGUUUUGUUGACAGAUUAAGUGUUUUAGUUAUUUGAACCUCAAUUUAUUUUUUGAUAUUUAUGUUAGUUUGGUCUAAAUAUAAGUUUAGAUGAAAACCCCAAAAACAUUUUAAUAUUAUAUGUAUUUUUGAAUAAUUAAUACAAAGAUAUAAGAUUUUGGUUACACCCAAAGGUUUCUGAAUCCAAAACUUACCGAACCCUCUGAUCCACAGAAAAAAGGAAAAUCUGAAUGGAUAUUAAAUUUCUAAACUGAAUAUUCGAAAAUAUGAAUGACUGGACCGAAUCCAAACGAUAUCUUGACCCUCAUGACUACUUUGAAUAGAGGUUUUUCACUGAUUAGAGUUCAAUUGCAAUUACUAAAAAGAAAUUAACAUAACUGAACCCGGAAAAAUAACUAAACCACUAGUUUGAAAAUAUAAUUUGUAAAUAUGUAAAGCUAUUCGAACACUACACAAUUAUUGUUUCUAUAAAUGUACUUGUGUGUAGUUAUUCAUAUUUUUGUACAUGGAAAAACUUAAAAACAAGAAAAGAAUCAAAUCGCAAAAAAAAAGGAAUCAAAUUGCCUACUAAUUUGUCGCCACCAUAAAAUACAAACAUUGUACUAAUGGCUUCACUAAACUAAUUUAUAUGUUUUUUGCAUCUUUUGAUCCUUGUAUGUGUUCAGCUAUACAUGUUUAAUUCCUAAUUUGCUAGUAGAAGCCUAUGAAAACUUUAGGCGGCCGAAGGAAACGUUUUUUCCUUUUCCUUUUUAGAGGAGUAGAAGAAUCACAAUACGGCUGACCGCUAAAUUCCAAAAGGAAAUACUUAAAAAUUAUGGAGAUUGGAAGCAAACAUCUCUGAAGAAAACAAGAAAAGAGUGAGGAAACACAUUGAGUGGGUUUAAAAAAGGCAUACAAAUUUUCGCUUGUAUCGUUGAUUAUAAAUUUGAAAAUGGGUGGUUCCCAACUUGACAUGAUAUAAAAGCAUGAAGAGUUUUUGUUUUUUAGUGAGUGCCUUGAAGAGGAAGACACAAGCAUCCGUAUUGCCAAUAUAAUCAACAUUGAAACUAAAUUUUAACCAUUUCUAAUAUAUUUUGCUAUUUUAUAGUAUAAAAUAGAAUAAUUGUAAGGUAAAAUUUAUUCUAAUUCACUUUAAAAUAGCAUUCUUAUAUAUUCUAAAUAUAAUUAAAUGUUAUUUUUCUAAAAUAAAGAAAGAGAAAAAACUAUUUCAAAAAAAUGGAUUGGAAUAAAUUUACCUCUAAAUAAUAUUACAUGUAAAUAUAGACAUGAAUUGGAAAUGUUAUAAUAAACAUUGAAACUCUUUUAACCAAUCAGAGAACUAUAAAUUUUGUUCUCUUUUAACAAAUUACAAUGUAUUUAAGUUUGGUAAUUUCAAUACAGAAACUUUUCACCAACGGUUGAUCUCAGAUGCGUUUUCUUAAUUAGGCAUCAGUAUAAUGCCCCAAUUAGAUGAAUGACAGAGAACACAUGCAUUGGUGACAAAGUGAGACGCUGCUGCAUCUUGAAGAGGUAUAGAAUCAUAACACGACACUCCGCUAACUUCCACAAAUAUAAAUAACUCCUACUACUACUACUAUACAAAGUAGGGAGACUUUUAUUAAUAUUCAUCACAAAUCUCGAAGUCUCCGGAGAAACAGCAGAGAACUCAGGAAAAAUGGACACGGCGGAGAAGGGUCUGCUCGCUCUGAGCGGCGGAGGAGAAGAAGAAGUCAGCACGAGAGAUCGGUUUCUCCGGGAGAUGAGGAGGCUCAGUUACAUAGCAGGUCCCAUGAUUGCAGUAAACUCUUCCAUGUACUUUCUCCAAGUCAUAUCGAUCAUGAUGGUUGGUCAUCUCGGUGAGCUUUACCUCUCCAGCACUGCCAUAGCCGUUUCUUUCUGCAGUGUCACCGGCUUUAGCCUCGUCGUAUGAUCUCUUUCUCUAUCCUCUCUUCUCUUGAAAAACCAGUUCUA